rnacentral:miRNA from 1 species
AGACAUUUAAAUAUACCGCGGUGUGUUUUAACACACCGCGGUAUAUAUA